GCAGCCAGAAGCUUUCGUAAGGGGAUUUUCCCAUGGGAAGGUCUGAGAGGGACAGGGUCGAAAUGACAUGUAGUUAGUGCUACAAUCUAGUUUAAUAGAAAUUCGCCUCUUUCUUGACCGAAAUGGGAUGAUAGAAAGAAAGGUUUGGAAAAUGCUAGUAGUCCCAUAAAGAAUAGUCAAACUCGAAAGGCAAUGAUUGUUCUCAUUGUAACUCAAUUCAGACUACUCUUUGGCUGC
rfam:Nosema bombycis CQ1 unplaced genomic scaffold NBO_10, whole genome shotgun sequence.